AAUCAGAAUUGCAAAUUACCAACUAAGGGUGGACUUUUUUAAUUCAGGGGAGUGCAUGUCCAGUGUGAAGAGGUCAGGAGGAAGGAAAACUUGGGCAGCAGCAGGAAGCAGUGCUGCAUGGUCACUGUAACCAAGGGAAACAAGAAAAGCAAGAAGGGGAGCCAGGCCUUGUGGCUGCCACCACUGUGUCCCACUGCUCUCCUUGUUGAUGAUAAAGAUGCUUCAGGCACGUGUGAGGCUGAGCACAUAUUCAAUUUGAAGACUGUAGAGUUUUACUAAAAGACUUUUUCAAACCAGCCAACACUCAUGUUCUAGUAGCUUCCUGCACACCUUCACAAUUUCUUCACUAGGGGAUACUGCCUUUGCAUGGGCUCUUGCCUGCAGGAAAAAAGAAGGC
rnacentral:lncRNA from 1 species